GUGGGUUUAUUUAGUUGCUUCAGUUAAAGAAUGUCAAAAUGCAACUAUUGAACUUGUGGUUGUUGUCCGGCCAAAAAAAAAACUUCUGGUUGUUGCUUAUUUACUUAAGUAGGCUUUCGAAUUUCGAGUUGCUGGAUACAGUUGCUGUGAAAGUAUAAUAGGUUUUAUGAUUCUUAUAAUUCUCUACAGAUUCUCGGUAACUUCUUGCACA
rnacentral:misc_RNA from 1 species